GCCGGUAUAAUUUAGCAAAAUACUAGAUUGUGAUUCUAGACUCAGAGGUGAAAACCCCCUUACCGGCC
rnacentral:tRNA from 1 species